GGUUCGAUGAUGACAACCUAACUCUGAAGAGAGGUGAUGAAUAAAAAAAAAAUUGUACACGAGAGGAUUGAGCUGAGGCCC
ensembl:snoRNA SNORD115 Small nucleolar RNA SNORD115